GUGUUUGCUCUGGGGGCACAUAUGCUAAGGUUGGAACAGAACAGAAAUUAGCGUGGCCCUUAUGCAAGGAUGAUACACAAAUUUGUGAAAUGUUCCAUGUUAAA